GGCCUUGGUAGCUCAGUUGGUAGAGCACCUGACUGAAGAUACAGGGGUCCCGGGUUCGAUUCCCGGUCUAGCCA